GAGUUUGAUCAUGGCUCAGGAUGAACGCUGGCGGCGUGCCUAAUACAUGCAAGUCGAGCGAACAGACGAGGAGCUUGCUCCUCUGACGUUAGCGGCGGACGGGUGAGUAACACGUGGAUAACCUACCUAUAAGACUGGGAUAACUUCGGGAAACCGGAGCUAAUACCGAAUAAUAUAUUGAACCGCAUGGUCCAAUAGUGAAAAACGGUUUUGCUGUCACUUAUAGAUGGAUCCGCGCCGCAUUAGCUAGUUGGUAGGGUAACGGCUUACCAAGGCGACGAUGCGUAGCCGACCUGAGAGGGUGAUCGGCCACACUGGAACUGAGACACGGUCCAGACUCCUACGGGAGGCAGCAGUAGGGAAUCUUCCGCAAUGGGCGAAAGCCUGACGGAGCAACGCCGCGUGAGUGAUGAAGGUCUUCGGAUCGUAAAACUCUGUUAUUAGGGAAGAACAAAUGUGUAAGUAACUACGCACGUCUUGACGGUACCUAAUCAGAAAGCCACGGCUAACUACGUGCCAGCCGCCG
rnacentral:rRNA from 1 species